rnacentral:piRNA from 1 species
UAUUCUUCUAAUAUAGUGAGC